CGGGUGAAAGCAGGGGAUCUUCGGACCUUGCGCGAUUGAAUGAGCCGAUGUCGGAUUAGCUAGUUGGCGGGGUAAAGGCCCACCAAGGCGACGAUCCGUAGCUGGUCUGAGAGGAUGAUCAGCCACACUGGAACUGAGACACGGUCCAGACUCCUACGGGAGGCAGCAGUGGGGAAUAUUGGACAAUGGGCGCAAGCCUGAUCCAGCCAUACCGCGUGGGUGAAGAAGGCCUUCGGGUUGUAAAGCCCUUUUGUUGGGAAAGAAAUCCAGCCGGCUAAUACCCGGUUGGGAUGACGGUACCCAAAGAAUAAGCACCGGCUAACUUCGUGCCAGCAGCCGCGGUAAUACGAAGGGUGCAAGCGUUACUCGGAAUUACUGGGCGUAAAGCGUGCGUAGGUGGUCGUUUAAGUCCGUUGUGAAAGCCCUGGGCUCAACCUGGGAACUGCAGUGGAUACUGGGCGACUAGAGUGUGGUAGAGGGUAGCGGAAUUCCUGGUGUAGCAGUGAAAUGCGUAGAGAUCAGGAGGAACAUCCAUGGCGAAGGCAGCUACCUGGACCAACAC
rnacentral:rRNA from 1 species